rnacentral:rRNA from 1 species
UACCGCGUGUGUGAAGAAGGCCUUCGGGUUGUAAAGCACUUUAAGCAGGGAGAAAAAGUUAUAAGUUAAUACCUUAUAACCCUGAUGUUACCUGCAGAAUAAGCACCGGCUAAUUCCGUGCCAGCAGCCGCGGUAAUACGGAAGGUGCAAGCGUUAAUCGGAAUUACUGGGCGUAAAGCGCGCGUAGGUGGUUUGUUAAGUUGGAUGUGAAAGCCCUGGGCUCAACCUAGGAACUGCAUCCAAAACUAACUCACUAGAGUACGAUAGAGGGAGGUAGAAUUCAUAGUGUAGCGGUGGAAUGCGUAGAUAUUAUGAAGAAUACCAGUGGCGAAGGCGGCCUCCUGGAUCUGUACUGACACUGAGGUGCGAAAGCGUGGGUAGCGAACAGGAUUAGAUACCCUGGUAGUCCACGCCGUAAACGAUGACAACUAGCUGUUGGGAGACUAUGUCUUUCAGUGGCGCAGCUAACGCUUUAAGUUGUCCGCCUGGGGAGUACGGCCGCAAGGCUAAAACUCAAAUGAAUUGACGGGGACCCGCACAAGCGGUGGAGCAUGUGGUUUAAUUCGAUGCAACGCGAAAAACCUUACCUACUCUUGACAUACUUGGGAGCUCUUGUAAUGAGAGUGUGCCUUAUGGAACCAAGAUACAGGUGCUGCAUGGCUGUCGUCAGCUCGUGUCGUGAGAUGUUCCGUUAAGUCGGAUAACGAGCGCAACC